GGACCCGCACAAGUAGUGGAGCAUGUGGUUUAAUUCGAAGAUACGCGCAGAACCUUACCAACACUUGACAUGUUCGUCGCGACUCUAAGAGAUUAGAGUUUUCGGUUCGGCCGGACGAAACACAGGUGCUGCAUGGCUGUCGUCAGCUCGUGUCGUGAGAUGUUGGGUUAAGUCCCGCAACGAGCGCAACCCUCACUUUUAGUUGCCAUCAUUUAGUUGGGCACUCUGAAAGAACUGCCAGUGAUAAGCUGGAGGAAGGUGGGGAUGACGUCAAGUCCUCAUGGCCCUUACGUGUUGGGCUACACACGUGCUACAAUGGCCGGUACAGAGGGCAGCCACACCGCAAGGUGGAG
rnacentral:rRNA from 1 species